rnacentral:tRNA from 1 species
GCCGGAGUGGCGGAAUGGCAGACGCAGUGGACUCAAAAUUCACCGGUGGCGACAUCGUACGGGUUCAAGUCCCGUCUCCGGCA